rnacentral:ncRNA from 1 species
AUAAAUCCUAUGAAGAGGGAUAGUAAUCAUAUAACAAUGUUAAAGAGAGCUGAAGGUGGUGAGAUUUCAGUACGGUAGUUAAUGAUGAAUGGGCCUUUGAGGAGCGAGAUGAAAUCUUUUGAGAGUAGUUUAGCCGUAAGUCGCACGUUAUAGCGAAUAAGAUAUGUUUGUAUCUGAAAUGAGAGGCAUUUUAUGCAAUCUAGGUGGCAACGCGGAUAAUAUCCGUCCUAUUA